rnacentral:rRNA from 1 species
ACUCCUACGGGAGGCAGCAGUGGGGAAUAUUGGACAAUGGGGGAACCCUGAUCCAGCCAUGCCGCGUGUGUGAAGAAGGCCUUAUGGUUGUAAAGCACUUUAAGCGAGGAGGAGGCUACUGAGACUAAUACUCUUGGAUAGUGGACGUUACUCGCAGAAUAAGCACCGGCUAACUCUGUGCCAGCAGCCGCGGUAAUACAGAGGGUGCGAGCGUUAAUCGGAUUUACUGGGCGUAAAGCGUGCGUAGGCGGCUUUUAAGUCGGAUGUGAAAUCCCCGAGCUUAACUUGGGAAUUGCAUUCGAUACUGGGGAAGCUAGAGUAUGGGAGAGGAUGGUAGAAUUCCAGGUGUAGCGGUGAAAUGCGUAGAGAUCUGGAGGAAUACCGAUGGCGAAGGCAGCCAUCUGGCCUAAUACUGACGCUGAGGUACGAAAGCAUGGGAGCAAACAGGAUUAGAUACCCCUGGUAGCGACUGA